rnacentral:rRNA from 1 species
CGCCCAGAGGGUUUGGCACGGGAUAUUACCGGGCGAAGGGAGAAGAGGUAACUGCCGGAAGGGGGAAACUGGAAAUACCGCAAUAUCGGGACAUAAGUAGAGUAAGAAAGUUUUUUCGCUUCCGAUGAGCCUGCGGCCUAUUAGCCUGUUGGUAGGGUAAUGGCCUACCAAAGCUACGAUAGGUAGCCGACCUGAGAGGGUGACCGGCCACAUUGGGACUGAGAUACGGCCCAGACUCCUACGGGAGGCAGCAACUGAGAAUCUUCCACAAUGGACGAAAGUCUGAUGGAGCGACAUCGCGUGAGGGAUGAAGGCCUUCGGGUUGUAAACCUCGGAAAUUAUCGAAGAAUGAGUGACAGUAGAUAAUGUAAGCCUCGGCUAACUACGUGCCAGCAGCCGCGGUAAUACGUAGGAAGCAAACGUUGCUCGGAUUC